rnacentral:lncRNA from 1 species
AUUUACGAGUUAGUGAUGACAACUCUCCAGAUUCCACUUGAUAAUCUGCAGGUAAUAUAUGUAUGCAAACAUGAUGGCACACCAACAGGGAGCAAGCUGUGGUACGAGCUGUACCAGGCUGCAUGGAGCCUGCAGGCUGUGGGCUGGACAGGCCUGAUCUACGGUGAGCUAUAGGCCAAAUCCAGAAAAGUGCCAGUGACUCUUCAGUGUGUAGGAAGGUGGGCAGGCACUGGAGUGCUAAGAAGCAAUGCAUACAGUCAUUAAAUGACUGUCAUCUUUAAGUCCACCAUCAGCACUGAGUUGAAGCUGAACAUUCCUUAAGUCUUCUAGUAGAUGUUGCAUUAUGACUCUAAAUUUAUAUUCACCUAUUUUAGUUUUUUGUAUAUUUUCAUGUACUCCAGAAAUUGACUGUGCCCACAGUAGGAGGGUUGAAACUGAAAUCUUUGAGGUCCUUUUCAGCUAAGGCCAUUCUAUGAUUUUAUGAAAUUACAUGCAAGUAUAUAAGCAUACCAGCUGAUCAGCCGUAUUCCUAUAAAAACUGUGCCCAUAUGGGAGAGGUGAAUUUACUGCAUUUCAGAUUGGUUAGACAAUGUUUUAACACCAGUUUGAUAUUCUGAGUUAAAUGGCAAUGACAGCAAGUAGUGAUCUGGGGAAGAAGGUAAUUCAAGAUAGAUGAGCGUUGUGAGGCAGCGUCACACUGAACAGCACAGUUCCCUUGAAGAGAGGGAAGUAAUCAGUGAAGUCUUGCAUGAUUGUCUGCUCACAGAACAUCUGUGAAGCACGCAGUGUUUUAAAUGGCAACAAUAUAGUUGGUUAAAUGUUAUCCUUACUCCCUCUCAUUAAACCCUUUUUUACAUUUAGAGGCUCCAAAUCUCCUUAGAUGUGAAGAGAAAGUAACAAUACUUGUAGAGCAUCCUCUCUCAUUGAUUUUGCUCCCUAUUCAAGGUCAAGGAAAUGUCUGUAGCACAUAGAGAGAAGAGCAGUUGGUGCUUUUAUUCUCUUAAUGGCUUAGGAAACCAAGUUGAUAUGUUUUAAGUGAAAAGAAUUCAAAGAGCUCAGCAGUUUGUAUGAAUAUGAAGAUGUUUGGGUUGCUGUCGUUCUUAAAAGAGGUUAUACAAAAAAACUUAUGCUCAAAGUGAGCUUAUUUUCUGUUUAUGUAUUACUUUUCUGUCCCUAGUGGCCCGUUUGCACUAUUCUUGCCUUCAGGAUGUAGCACAAAGGUAAAGGAAUGUUCCCUUGAGUCUCUCUUCCCUAACAUGCAUUGCCAUGAAGUCCUUCAUGUUGACUUUCCAGAAAUUAAGGCAGAUAAUUUUGCUCUGAUGCAACCAGUGCACUUUGUUGUUCAGUCUUUAAUUUUGAUUCCAAGUCAAAACUCUGAAUAGCUCUCAGAAUUUUGAGACAGAUGUUUAGUUUGUAUAGUCCUUCCGAUGAGAGCCUUCCUGUGUACUUGUGAAGCGGAGUUAUCCAAAGGUCAGCAAACAACAAGAUUAAAAAUGCAGUAUGGCAUACAGCUUUAAAACUGGGAUGAUAAGUGCCGUCAAAAAAGUAUGGUUUGGUGAUGUCGUCUUCCCAGGUGCAAGACCCACUUGGGUGGUUUUAAUGUGUUUAUGUAGUCAUCACACUUUAAGAAUCUAAAUAUGUAUUAAUAAAGUUUCUAGCUGACAGAUUCCGAGCUUUCUGAAGGCAGAUAAAUGUUAACUAAUAAGUAUGUUUUCUUCGUGACUCAGCCUGAAGGAAAGUCUUACCUGGUAGAGAUGGCCAGUCUCAUUAGAGAAGAUGAAGAUCUUGCUUCCAGACUUCUGUGAUGGCACGUAAAACGCUAGCAUUAAUUGCAUCACUGAUUACAUUUUAAUGGACAGAAUAGGGUGAUGCGAGCUUUUGGAAAUGUUAGCAACUGAAGAGCUGCAGAAGAAAAACAAAUAUAAAAUCAGGG